rnacentral:rRNA from 1 species
AUACGGAGGAUGCAAGCGUUAUCCGGAUUUAUUGGGUUUAAAGGGAGCGUAGGCGGGAGCUUAAGUCAGCGGUUAAAUGGUGCGGCUCAACCGUGCCCUGCCGUUGAAACUGGGUUUCUUGAGAGUGCAAGAGGCGGAUGGAAUUCAUGGUGUAGCGGUGAAAUGCUUAGAUAUCAUGAAGAACUCCGAUUGCGAAGGCAGUCCGCUGGGGCACGUCUGACGCUGAUGCUCGAAGGUGCGGGAAUCAAACAGGAUUAGAUACCCUGGUAGUCCGCACGGUAAACGAUGAUUACCCGCUGUCGGCGGCAGACAGUCGGCGGCCAAGCGAAAG